rfam:Cucumis sativus cultivar 9930 chromosome 7, whole genome shotgun sequence.
UGGAGAAGGGGAGCACGUGCAAAGGGUUUAGAAAUGGGUGAGUUUGCACGUGCCCUGCUUCUCCAAC